UUAUAAAUUCUCUUUGAUACUUCAAAAUUCUUAUUUUAUCAGACUUGUUUUCACAGAGUUGAUUUUCAAAAGAAAGAGUCACAUUACAUUUAAUAAUAAACAAGCCUCUGGGUAAGCUCACAUUUUUUAAAUUAUGUAUUUCAGAGCAUAUAUGUAAUUAGAGGUAAAUUACCCUUAUGUAAGGUCAAAUUUAAACUGUACAUUAGAUCUCACUAGAAAGGAACACACUAAGAAGCAAUCAAAUCUUCAGCUUUUUAGAACAUUCACAUGUUUCCCCAUCUACUCCCCAACACCCCAAGAUAUCUAGUAUUACCAUUGUUGUGGACAAACUGCAACCUAACUUAAUAGGCAGACAAGAUUGAAAACCUAACUUAGUAGUAUGUACCUGUAACAAUAGCUGAGUCUUGGCCAAUCCCAGCAGCCAUACUUCAAAGACUCAUACGCUGCUGAGUGUUCAAACUGUGUUCAAAUAAGGCAAAUGCCAAGCUAUAACCAAUCCAGUUGUUUCUGUAUCUCACUUUCAAUUCCUGUGUGUCAUUUCCCUGUUUUUGUCUAUAAAUUUAUUCUGACCAAAAGGCAUCCCUGGAGUCUCCCUAAAUUUACUGUGAUUCUGGGGGCUGCCCAAUUCACAAAUCAUUUAUUGCUCAAUCACACUCCUUUAAAUUCGGUUAAAGUUUUCCUUUUAACAGAUGGUGUCAGAAGCGGGGUCCAAAGUAGAGCUUCUAAUGACCCCAGGAAUGCUGAGUGAACAAGCAAGGUAGCUGCAAGGACCCUGCAAGGACCCACUUGUGUCCUUGAUUCCUCAGAGCGGCUGAGGGUUGUGAGAAUAUUGGAGCUGAGAAGAGAGAAACAAGAAGUCGUCUGCUAUGUCCAAGUAGAAUUCAGACAUGUUUUGGAAUACCUGGUGAACAAAGCAAAACAACCAAAAGGCAAAUGUAAAAACUAAUCCUAUGAGAAGAAGGAGAUAAUCAUGAUGCCCCACACCUAGUAAGAAAAUCUUAGUGUCAAAAGAGUGGCAAUGCUAAAUACUGGGGAUUUUCUGUCAACUGGGUUUGCGUUCUAACACAGACAAUCCUCAAUGACUUUAUGCCUCAUAUCCUUUUGAGUGUGAAGAAACUAUGAAAAAAAAAAAAAACUAAAACAACUGUUUCAUUAAAAUAUUGGCUAAAAGAAAAAAAAAAACCUGCACUACUUUUGAACCUUUCUAACAGAGUAUAACACGAAGAAAGACAUCAUCAUCCUCCCCCUACUUUAUCCCAGCUAAUCCGGCAGCUUUAGCUGUGAAAGAGAACAUUGGUGGAAAUGCCCAGCAGAGAGCACCAUAUGGCAAGAGACUGAAGUGCCUGGUGGAACAGCAGCUGUACUCAAUGGAAAGAGACUUAUUCGGGAGCAUAGCUGAGACAGCCCCCAGGGAUGUCUAGAAAUACAUGGGUAGAAGAACUUUGCAAAAGGCUAUAUGUCCUCUACAUUGAUAGUUACAGACAAAAAAAAAUGGUAUUUAAGUUAUUAACAUUAUUGCAACUCUCUUUAGUAACUCCAAUCCAAUGAAGCCUGGGAAAAUGUGUUAUAUAAAUAAAAAGGAUUAAUCCUUAUUUCCUCUAGGAAUAUUUCCAGCACUGUACGUGGUCUCAGUGGGCUUGAAUUAUUGAUCUGCAAAUCCCUUCUGCUGCAACACAAAGAGCAGAAAGGCAUUUGCCCUUCUUCACUAUGGACAUUCAGCUUUAACACUGAGUGAUGAGUGACAGUCUUAUAAAGCACUAUCUCAAAGUAAUAUAUUAUUAUUCUUAAUAGCAUUAUUAUUAUUAUUACAAGUAGGGAUUCUAAUUUGAUACACAAUUCCAAAGCCCAGCCCCUUGUCAUGUCCUUGAAGGAACAAAGCUAUGAAUAAAAACUGAAAGAGCUAUCCCACAAAUCUCUGCAACACAUAGGGUAUAUAUACACUACUUUGGAAUUCCUAAGUAUAACACAAAAGGAAAUAAGGGAGUCAGACCAUCCAAAGGCAUUGGGUUUGGUGGGUGUAGGGGGGCAGAGACAAAUGCUAUAAAACUUAGCAGAAUGACUUACAAAAGUGGCAGAGUCUGACAUGUCCAGCACAGCAGUACAUGCCAGUAAAAGAGCACGGAGAAACCCUAGCAUCCACUAGAGUAGUUGAAAACACUCCUCUCUCCUCUUCUUAUAGGGUCAGUGGCAAUUCCAAAGACUGCUGUGCCAAACAGAACUUAAGGAAGAGAGAGAACCUAGCCAAACAACACUUUCUCUUGCUAAAGAGAAACAGAAGAAAAUAAAGCCUUCAGCUACUGAGCUUUGCCACGCUAUCUCUAGUUCUCUCAAAUACAAGAUGAGGAUUUCAAAAAAUAUCACAAUUCCGUUUGUAUUAAACUUUGCUGAAUCUUCUUGAAUAUUAUGAACUAUGUCUUUAACUGAUACAGAAAACUACGUUUUUAUAUGUUUUUAAAUUACAUCUAGAUUUUUAUUCCAAUAAAUAAAUAAUAAGUUGUAUUGAUUCAAUACUUAUUAAAUUAGGCCAUCAAAUAAAUUAGGUCAUCAAAUAAAUGUCUUCUUCUUCUUCCUUAUUUCUAUAAAUAAUAAUUUAGCCAGGAAGUAAUCAAGUUUUAUAUGUCUAAGUAAUGCUUAUUCAUGUGGGGAAAGGAUUUUAUACAUGCAGGGAAGCUUGGAGGCAUCAUUGUGGCCUUCUAAUAGAUGACACAUUAUUCUGAAACAAAAAAAAAAUAGCUUAAAGCAAGAAUUACAUUUUGAGAUGUAAGUUAUGAGUGAUUAGGGAAUUAUUAAGCUAAAGCCAAGAAUCUAUGACUAAUUGUGAAGAAUACUUAUUCCAAUAUGUUAGACCAUAGUUAUUUUUCUCAGGAUAUUUUAGGUAAGGAAACUGAGCACAAAGAUUAAGUAACUUGGCCAAGGACUAAUAACUAUUAAGUGGUAGAGUCAGGACACAUAACCAGGAAGUCUGGCUCCAUUACACUUCUUUGCAUAACUUGUCCGUCACCUUGGGGAGAAUAUCCUAAUAUCAAAUCAUAAGACCAUUUCACUGGAGUUUUUACAGAAUUGAACCUAUUGUUCACAUAAGAAUAUCUUACUCAAAUAUUUAAGAUACUUAAAUAUCUUAAUGAAGAUUAAUUGUCACAUUGUUAUUAAUAGGAUGAUGGGACAGUCAAGGCCUAGAAGACCAGGUAUGUCAUAGAGAGAGAGAAUGAAAUAUUCUUGAGACAAAAACUCCCAUGGCCAGAAAGAAAUGGGAAUUCUUAUGGUUAGAAAAGGAAACAUGUAACUUAUAUUAUCCUUACUUUUCAUGUUACCAGAAUUAAUCUGGUUCUUCAAAAGUUUUAUAGCAUGAAACAAUCCAUUAGUCUUAAAAUAUCUGCCUACUACUGUAUUUAAACACAAAAUGUAUUAUUUCUAGUUUGUUCCAUAAUCAAUAGGAAUUCUUCUAAAAACUUAAAAAUCAAAAAUUA
rnacentral:lncRNA from 10 species